GACUGCAUUACCUUGGCGGGGUGUCGUCAUUGGCUGCCUAUUAGAAAAACUGCAAGACAAUGCAUACCACUGCCUGCGACUGUAAACAUAGGGGCUAUGUGUUCGCUUAGCGUGGACUUCGGGGAGGGGCCAAAGAAGGGCGGUCUGCAGUUUUAUUGAGUAGGGCACUGUGCGCUAGGCUGCCUGCCUGCCUACUGCUCUCUCGCUGUGCUCUUGCUUAAAGGAAUCAGUCCUCCUCUCCAACGUCGUCCUCUGGAAGAAGUUGCAGCCUCAGGGAGGUAUCAAUAGUUAUUUCCAGAUCAUCUAAUCUAGAAGGUUUUCUGAUCACUAGAAGGCUCAGGAGUGAAUAUCGGACUGCUUAACUACAUUACCUGGUCUCCUUAAAGCUGAAACAUCACCAUGGAUGAUUUUGAACGCCGCAGAGAACUCAGGAGGCAAAAGAGGGAGGAGAUGCGGCUGGAAGCAGAAAGGUAGGAUGUACAAAUCGACAGAA